GAGAGGCUUCGCGCGUGGCGUCUUUUCCGUGCCAAUGUCCCCCACCCCCCUCUUCCACCCUUCCUUCCCUCUCUAUCUUUCUCUCUUUUUCACUGUUUCACUUCUCAUCCAAGUCCAUGUACGGCUACUUGCUGUAUAAUUCAUUGUCGAGUCUCAUACACGUAGCGUCUUAUGGCAGAUACACAAUUACGUGCUCUGGCCCUGGUAACGUUAAAACGAGAGAAGGAUAACGACGACGACGACGACGACGACGAACACAUAGCACGAUGCGUUUUCCUUCAAGACAAUGUUGCUGCACACGCUGUCUUACCUUGGCGUAACUAGUUUUUAUCACCGAUGACGAACAAUGACGCGCUUAUCUUGUACUAUUGUAUUCACCGUAAAACACCGUACGUCUCUCUACCCCGGAAUAUACAUAUUCAAAAAAGUACACCAGAGGAUAGUUUAAACUUGUCUCGUUUGAAUUAUUCUCCUCGAUGUUGAAUCGUUUUCAAGUCUCCGUUCACGUAACGUUGACCAAAAUAAAUGAGGACUUUCACUUGACAAAAGAAUAAAUCUUAUCGAUUAUUGGGACGAUGAAGAAGGUAACGUUGAUAACCGUGUGCAAAGGGAACACUCGGAGGUGCGCUUUAUCUGGCUGGCAACAUGUAAUUAGAGAAGACGAAUUAUACGAGGUGUUGGAUUCUCCUUGGCUGUCAUCAAAAGAGAAAUGAACGGACCGCUGAACAGGUGCAACUGUUCACAUUGAAACAAGUUUCUCUGAACUUCUCUUCUUCUUGGUUUAUAUAGCAAGAUUAUUUCCUGUAAACUAUGCAACUAUAUUUCUUUUCGCUUCUAUUUAUUUAAUCAAUAUUUUUAAUAAUAAAUAAUCAGUAUAUAUGAUUCUUCU